CCGCUGAAAUUAAGCAUAUAAUUAAGCGGAGGAAAAGAAACUAACCAGGAUUCCCUCAGUAAGGGCGACUGAAGCGGGAAUAGCUCACUAUGUGAAUCUGCGCACUUGCGUCGAAUUGUGGUCUAGAGACUCUUGUGUUACUGGCCGGGCCAAGUCCCUUGGAACAGGGCAGCUUAGAGGGUGAAACUCCCGUCUGCCUGGCCUWUUGAGCAAGUGUCUACGAGUCGAGUUGUUUGGGAUUGCAGCUCAAAGUGGGUGGUAAAUUCCAUCUAAAGCUAAAUAUUGGUGGGAGACCGAUAGCGUACAAGUACCGUGAGGGAAAGAUGCAAAGAACUUUGAAAAGAGAGUUAAAGAGUACCUGAAAUUGCUGAAACGGAAGCGAAGGAAACCAGUGUUAGCUGCGUCAUACUUCCCUUACUGCUUGCGGUUGGGGCGCUGUGACUGGCGUUGUCAAGCUUGGUUGGGCUGUCUGGAAGCGCGUACAGAGAGUUGAUCUGUGCAUGACUGUAGAUGGCCUGACUGAGGUUGACGAAAUGGUUUUCUUUACCCCGUCUUGAAACAGGGGACCAAGGA
rnacentral:rRNA from 1 species